GACGAACGCUGGCGGCGUGCUUAACACAUGCAAGUCGAACGGUAAGGCUCCAGCUUGCUGGGGUACACGAGUGGCGAACGGGUGAGUAACACGUGGGUGACCUGCCCUGCACUUCGGGAUAAGCCUGGGAAACUGGGUCUAAUACCGGAUAGGACCGCACCGUGAGGGUGUGGUGGAAAGUUUUUUCGGUGUGGGAUGGGCCCGCGGCCUAUCAGCUUGUUGGUGGGGUAAUGGCCUACCAAGGCGGCGACGGGUAGCCGGCCUGAGAGGGUGGACGGCCACAUUGGGACUGAGACACGGCCCAGACUCCUACGGGAGGCAGCAGUGGGGAAUAUUGCACAAUGGGCGGAAGCCUGAUGUAGCGACGCCGCGUGGGGGAUGACGGCCUUCGGGUUGUAAACUCCUUUCACCAUCGACGAAGGGUUUCUGACGGUAGAUGGAGAAGAAGCACCGGCUAACUACGUG
rnacentral:rRNA from 1 species